rnacentral:lncRNA from 1 species
GGGGAGUUUUGGGGACCCCCUGGGGUUAUUGGGGGGGGCCCUAACCCCAAUCCCACCCCCCAAACCCCAAUUCCUCCCUCCCUUGCGGCAGCUCUUGGAUCCGGAGCCGUCGGAGCCGAUGGCGGCCGAGACCUACGGGAACUUCGACACUCAGGUGAGGGGGGGGCAGGGCAGAUUUUGGGGUGUCUCGGGGGGUAUUUGGGGGUGUCUGAGCCCCCCCUGUGCCCCCCAGUCCCGCCGCUAUUACUACCUGAGCCAGGAGCCCCCCGAGGAGGGGUCGGGGCAGCGCUGCCGUGAGCUGGAGCAGCAGGUGGCCACGCUGCAGGAGGAGAAGGGGCACCUGGCCGCCGAGAACCGCGCGCUGCGGGAGCAGCUCGAGCGCGACGCCGCC